AAUAGAGCACAACAGGGAUCCACAGGUGAUACUGUUUCCUAAUUUGAGCAUUACAGAAUAUCCACACAUACGAUAGCAAGAAUCAAACUAUGCAGGACUGAUUCUUCAUGGCGGACGAGAAUUGUAAUCGAUUUUAAACAUUUAAUUCCGAAAGUACACGUGUAUGAACACUAAACUGACAUUUACAAUAGAAACUGUCUAGCCACUGGAUGGGGGAGAAGUGUAGCGAUUUUGUGUGGACUCAAACCAUCCAGUAUAUUGAAGUGAAACAAUGUGUUAGUGAUUGGACAAACUAUACAACUACACUUCUCCUAA